rnacentral:rRNA from 1 species
GACGAACGCUGGCGGCGUGCUUAACACAUGCAAGUCGUACGGUAAGGCCCUUUCGGGGUUACGCGAGUGGCGAACGGGUGUGUAACCCGUCAGUAACCUGCCCACAACUUUCGGAUAACGCUAGGUAACUGGUGCUAAUCCUGGAUAUGUACUCCUGCUUCCUCGUGGGGGUUGGAAAGCUCCGGCGUUUGUGGGAGGUCUCGCGGCCUCUCACCUUGUUGGUGGGGUAGUGGAUUACCAAGGCGGCGACGGGUAGCCCGCCGGAGAGGGUGACCGGCCACAUUGAGACGGAGAGACGGCCGAGACACCUACGGGAGGGAGCAGGGGGGAAGAAUGCACAAGGGGCGCAAGACUGAUGCAGCAACGCAGCGUGCGGGAAGACGGAAGUCGGGUUGGAAACCGCCUUCAGCAGGGACGAAGCAUGUUGUGACGGUACCUGCAGAAGAAGCACCGGCUAACUACGUG